rnacentral:piRNA from 1 species
UGGGAAGACAGGUGCUUUUUCUUGAGGGC